ensembl:lncRNA
CCCCUCCCGCCCCACGACCAAACCAGCACGGCGUAUAAAUGGCCUUUCUGUUAAAUGCCUAUUCUGUGACUUUAAAGCCAGAAAGGAACUAUUCUGCUGCUGUGUUUAGAUUAAAGCUGACAGAGCAGAUUGGAGAUAGCUGGGAUAGCUUCAGUCGAGCUAAUAGCUAAAGCCUUAGAUGUGACGGCUAUUCUGUUUCAGAUGAACGCGUUUCUGUCUAAUAAUGUAGUCGUUUGGGCAUUUACUGGUGCGAGGAGUUCAGGUAGUAGAAGGAAUCGAAUAGAAUCGAGUGUAUUCCCUUGUAAGUCUCAGUACUGGAACACACACUUACACAUCAUGUCAGUUUUAAUAACGAGCCUCUAAUAGUCU